rnacentral:rRNA from 1 species
AAGAGACAGCAGCAGCCGCGGGAAUACCGAGGGUGCGAGCGUUAAUCGGAUUUACUGGGCGUAAAGCGUGCGUAGGCGGCUUCUUAAGUCGGAUGUGAAAUCCCUGAGCUUAACUUAGGAAUUGCAUUCGAUACUGGGAAGCUAGAGUAUGGGAGAGGAUGGUAGAAUUCCAGGUGUAGCGGUGAAAUGCGUAGAGAUCUGGAGGAAUACCGAUGGCGAAGGCAGCCAUCUGGCCUAAUACUGACGCUGAGGUACGAAAGCAUGGGGAGCAAACAGGAUUAGAUACCCCAGUAGUCCCUGUCUCUUAUAC